rnacentral:misc_RNA from 1 species
GGACAGCUGAAGUUUGCAGGUGGUAGAUGAAAAUCCAUACAUGAAGAGACAAAAUUAGUAGCAUUCAGUCUAAUUCAGUGAAAUUGUACAUAGAAAAGUCAUAUAAAAGAUUAAAAAAAGCCUACAAAUUUUCUUUUCUUAUUAAUGUCUAGAUUUAUUCUGCCUAUAUAUUAAAUGAUAGGAAAACAUUGUACCUUUCAAGAUCAUAUAUCUCGAUAGGCUUCUCACGGCGAGGGCCUACUUUUGAGGUCUCUUUCACUUUAUAACCUAUACAAAUGCAAAUACAAAAUUACUACUAUGAAUAAAACAAAUUGUAUAGAUUUUUUACUUGAACAGGAAUACUGCAUGUACAAGAAUGAAGCAUUUCAACUUAAAGCUUCAAAUUGAUCAUGCACUUUUUGCCUCUUUCAACUUAAAGACAAUUUUUGACCAGCCUUUUUAACACCAAACAAAACUACAGCUUAGUAUAAUGAUAACUUAGGAAAUUUGACAG